rnacentral:lncRNA from 12 species
UAAUUUUUCUAAAUGGGGUCAAUUUAAAACAACAUAUUUUCCAAACUUCUUUUUAUGUGUAAGUAUAAUUAUUUUUUCUUCUUUUUUCCUUUUUUUUUUUUUUCCAUUUGGCAAAGGAGGGAAUUCCAUGCAGGACCUUGAAUGACAUGCAGGGCAGCCAAAGACAUCAGCAACUUCUGCCAGCCACCUCUGGAAGGCAGGAGCAUUGCUAAAGGCUGGAUGUAGGCUCCUGCAUCAGCAAGCCCUCAGCCGCAGACAGGAUCAGUAACCACAAACCAAUCUGCUGCUCUUUCCACAGCAGACAGUUGUCCUUUUCUGCAUAGCCAGGCUUGCCUAGGGAAGAGGGUGGUGAAGAUGCUGCAAGACACCCCAUGGUCCACACCAGUGAGACAAGACAUGUGCAGGACUACCACCUAUUGCAGUGCUUGGGAGAGCAAACCCAGAUUCUUCACAAAGGGCAGUACAUUCUCUGCAGUAUAGAUAAGACUGCUAGCAAGAGGUUCAUUAACAGCUCUGUCUCAUCCCCAAAAA